GAUGAACGCUGGCGGCGUGCCUAAUACAUGCAACUCCAGCGAACGGACGAGAAGCUUGCUUCUCUGAUGUUAGCGGCGGACGGGUGAGUAACACGUGGAUAACCUACCUAUAAGACUGGGAUAACUUCGGGAAACCGGAGCUAAUACCGGAUAAUAUUUUGAACCGCAUGGUUCAAAAGUGAAAGACGGUCUUGCUGUCACUUAUAGAUGUAUCCGCGCUGCAUUAGCUAGUUGGUAAGGUAGCGGCUUACCAAGGCAACGAUGCAUAGCCGACCUGAGAGGGUGAUCGGCCACACUGGAACUGAGACACGAUCCAGAGUCCUACGGGAGGCAGCAGUAGGGAAUCUUCCGCAAUGGGCGAAAGCCUGACGGAGCAACGCCGCGUGAGUGAUGAAGGUCUUCGGAUCGUAAAACUCUGUUAUUAGGGAAGAACAUAUGUGUAAGUAACUGUGCACAUCUUGACGGUACCUAAUCAGAAAGCCACGGCUAACUACGUG
rnacentral:rRNA from 1 species